rnacentral:rRNA from 1 species
UACAGAGGGUGCGAGCGUUAAUCGGAAUUACUGGGCGUAAAGGGCGCGUAGGCGGCACAGCAAGUCGGGAGUGAAAGCCCGGGGCUCAACCCCGGAACGGCUUUCGAAACUGCUGAGCUAGAGUGCGGAAGGGGCAACCGGAAUUCCCAGUGUAGCGGUGAAAUGCGUAGAUAUUGGGAAGAACACCUGAGGCGAAGGCGGGUUGCUGGGCCGACACUGACGCUGAGGCGCGAAAGCCAGGGGAGCAAACGGG